rnacentral:rRNA from 1 species
GGAUUGCCCUAGUAACGGCGAGUGAAGCGGCAACAGCUCAAAUUUGAAAUCUGGCUCUUUCAGAGUCCGAGUUGUAAUUUGCAGAGGGCGCUUUGGCGUUGGCAGCGGUCCAAGUUCUUUGGAACAGGACGUCACAGAGGGUGAGAAUCCCGUACGUGGUCGCUAGCCUUCGCCGUGUAAAGCCCCUUCGACGAGUCGAGUUGUUUGGGAAUGCAGCUCUAAAUGGGAGGUAAAUUUCUUCUAAAGCUAAAUAUUGGCCAGAGACCGAUAGCGCACAAGUAGAGUGAUCGAAAGAUGAAAAGCACUUUGGAAAGAGAGUCAAAUAGCACGUGAAAUUGUUGAAAGGGAAGCGCUUGCAGCCAGACUUGCCUGUAGUUGCUUAUCCGGACUUUUGUCCGGUGCACUCUUCUGCGGGCAGGCCAGCAUCAGUUUGGGCGGUUGGAUAAAGGUCUCUGUCAUGUACCUCCUUUCGGGGAGGCCUUAUAGGGGAGACGACAUGCAACCAGCCUGGACUGAGGUCCGCGCAUCUGCUAGGAUGCUGGCGUAAUGGCUGUAAGCGGCCCGUCUUGAAACACGGACCAAGGAGUCUAACAUCUAUGCGAGUGUUUGGGUGUCAAGCCCAGACGCGUAAUGAAAGUGAACGGAGGUGGGAACCUUUUAGGUGCACCAUCGACCGAUCCUGAUGUCUUCGGAAGGAUUUGAGUAAGAGCAUGGCUGUUGGGACCCGAAAGAUGGUGAACUAUGCUUGAAUAGGGUGAAGCCAGAGGAAACUCUGGUGGAGGCUCGCAGCGGUUCUGACGUGCAAAUCGAUCGUCAAAUUUGGGCAUAGGGGCGAAAGACUAAUCGAACUAUCUAGUAGCUGGUUCCUGCCGAAGUUUCCCUCAGGAUAGCAGUAACGUAUUCAGUUUUAUGAGGUAAAGCGAAUGAUUAGAGGCCUGGGGGUUGAAACAACCUUCACCUAUUCUCAAACUUUAAAUAUGUAAGAAGUCCUUGUUACUUGAUUGAACGUGGACACUUGAAUGUACCGUUACUAGUGGGCCAUUUUUGGUAAGCAGAACUGGCGAUGCGGGAUGAACCGAACGCGGGGUUAAGGUGCCAGAAUAUACGCUCAUCAGACACCACAAAAGGUGUUAGUUCAUCUAGACAGCAGGACGGUGGCCAUGGAAGUCGGAAUCCGCUAAGGAGUGUGUAACAACUCACCUGCCGAAUGAACUAGCCCUGAAAAUGGAUGGCGCUCAAGCGUAUUACCCAUACCCCGCCGCCGGGGCAGAAUUUAUGCCCCGGCGAGUAGGCAGGCGUGGAGGCUCGUGACGAAGCCUUGGGGGUGACCCCGGGUCGAACGGCCUCUAGUGC